rnacentral:lncRNA from 1 species
AUUGCUUGCCAUUAAAGCUCAAAUACACCAAGAUCCUAAUCAGCCGGUCAUGAGCUCCUGGAAUGAGUCCACUCAUUUUUGCAUGUGGUAUGGUGUCACCUGCAGCCGACGCCAUCUUCAGAGGGUCACUAAGCUGAACCUAACUUCCCUGAAGUUAUCCGGGUCCAUAUCUCCGCACAUAGGAAACCUGAGCUUCCUGAGGGAGUUACGCCUCUAUGAGAAUAGCCUCACCAACAUAAUACCUCCAGAAAUUGGGUACUUGCGGAGGUUGCAGAUAUUACAUCUAGGAAACAACUCACUAAGCGGUCCUAUUCCUGUCAAUAUCUCCAAUUGCUUCAACCUCAGAGCCCUCGCUGUUUAUAACAACAAGCUGGAAGGUAACAUUCCUCCACAACUUGGUUCUUUGUCUAAGCUUGAGUAUCUUGGUUUGCAAUUUAAUAAAUUAACAGGAGAGAUGCCUCCUUCCCUGGGUAAUCUUUCUAGUCUUGACUCACUUGUUGCUAAUGGGAAUAACUUGGUGGGCAGUAUUCCUAGUUCUCUAGGCCAACUGAAAAAAUUAUCAGAUUUUUUAGUAGAGUCAAAUAGGUUGUCUGGUACCGUCCCUCCCUCCAUCUAUAACAUCUCCAGUCUUCUUACUUUUUCCAUAAGAGACAACCAAAUUCAAGGGAGCAUGCCCCCAUCCUUGUUCAGACCCCUUUCGAAUCUCCAAAUUUUUAGCAUUUUCGGAAAUCAGUUUACUGGACCUCUUCCUCUCUCAAUAAGCAAUGCUACUAAUCUAGUGAAAUUUCUAGUUGAUGAUAACAAACUGACAGGACAAGUUCCGAAUUUACAAAAGCUUCGUAACCUUGGGAGUUUCGACAUUUAUGGUAAUCAUCUUGGAAGUGGCAGUGAUGGGGACUUGAGUUUUUUAUCAGACUUGACCAAUGCCACGAAGUUGGAGUGGUUGCAAAUAGGAGUCAACAACUUCGGAGGGACGUUGCCUGCGUCAAUAUCUAAUCUCUCAACCCUUUCAUAUCUAAAUGUCGAAGGCAACCAAUUACAUGGAAGCAUCCCUGCAGGGAUAGGGGAUCUGGUCAACAUGAACGAAUUGCGUAUGUCUGGUAACAUGUUCACAUGUAACAUUCCCACCGACAUUGGGAAGCUUUCAGGUCUUGGGAGAUUAGAUCUUGUUAACAACAGAUUGUCAGGGAGCCUCCCAUCCUCUCUAGGAAAUCUGACAUCAUUACUUGAACUCUAUUUGAAAGGAAAUCAUUUUAAUGGCACCAUCCCCACAAGCCUUGGGGGAUGCCGUUCUUUGCUGCUGUUGGAUCUUUCUAGCAAUAAUCUUAGCGGCGACAUACCCCCACAAGUUAUUGGUAUUUCCUCCUUAUCAAGAUAUUUGAACUUGUCCGAGAAUCGUCUCAGUGGUUCCCUUCCCUUGGAGGUACGAAAGUUAAAAAAUCUAGGUAAGUUGGAUGUCUCUAAUAAUAUGUUAUCAGGAAAACUUCCUAGUGGCCUUGGUAGCUGUGAGAGUUUAGAAGUACUUCUCUUGCAAGGGAACUUCUUUGACGGCCCCAUUCCUUCAGCUUUGAGCUCCAUGAAAGGGAUUCAAGAGUUAGACCUUUCACACAACAAUCUCUCCGGUGAAAUUCCUGAAUUUCUGGCCGAGUUUAGAGGAUUGAAGCAACUUAACCUGUCUUUCAAUGACUUUUGGGGUGCAGUGCCAGUUAAAGGUGUCUUUAACAAUGCAAGUGCCAUUUCAGUUGUCGGAAACACAAGACUAUGCGGAGGCAUUUCUGAUCUCCACCUUCCAGAGUGCAAGUUUAAAGAAUCGAGGUGGUCUCGUAGCAAGAAACUAACAAUCUCAUUAGUCUCCGCAUUCACUGUUCUUGGAGUAGCUACGCUGCUGACGUUUCUUUUUCUUUGCUUCUUGAAAAAGAGAAGCAAAGAAACUCCAUCAAGCAUAUUGGCGAACUCUGUUUUACAAGUGUCGUAUAGUGCUCUCUUGAAAGCUACUGAUGGCUUCUCUGCAUCAAAUUUGAUUGGUGCUGGUAGUUUUGGUUCUGUAUACAAAGGAAUUCUUGGUGAAGAUGAAGAACAACUUGUUGCUGUGAAGGUUUUUAACAUGUUACGCCGGGGAGCUUCCAAGAGUUUCCUAGUUGAAUGUGAGACACUCAGAAAUAUCAGACACCGAAAUCUAGUCCCGAUUAUAACUACAUGUUCCAGUGUGGACUCUCAUGGUAAUGAUUUCAAGGCUUUGGUUUAUAAGUUCAUGGAGAAUGGGAGCUUAGAGGAGUGGCUGCAUCCAACUACUGAGACAGAAGACACACCAAAGAGUUUAAGUCUUGUUCAGAGGCUAGACAUUACCAUUGACGUUGCAUGUGCAGUGGAUUAUCUUCAUAAUCAUUGCGAAACACCAAUAGUUCAUUGCGAUCUCAAGCCGAGCAAUGUUCUUUUGGACCGCGACUUGACAGGACAUGUUGCUGAUUUUGGAUUAGCUAGAAUCCUCUCAAGACUAGUUGAUAACUUUUCAGCAAAUCAAUCAAGUUCCAUUGGAAUAAGAGGGACUGUUGGUUAUGCUGCUCCAGGUUAUUUUGUGCUAAUAUUUUUUUUUUGUAGUUUCAUCAAUGAGAGUUGUUUUUGUUAACAAUUGUGAUGUUUGAAAGCAGAGUAUGGAAUGGGAAGUGAGGUUUCAACAUAUGGAGAUGUCUACAGCUUCGGCAUUCUCUUGUUAGAGAUGUUUACAGGGAAGAGGCCUACUGACCACAUCUUCAUGGAUGGUUUGAACCUUCACAAGUGUACGAAGAUGGCCAUUGAGGAACGAGUUUCAGAGAUUGCAUAUUCAUCACUUGUUCAAGAAGGCAAUCUAAGGCAGAGCACCAAUGAUGCUCUUGAAGAAUGCUUGAGUUCAAUACUAGCAAUUGGAGUUGCAUGCUCUGUGGAAUCCCCAACAGACCGAAAGAUUAUCAAGGAUGCUGUGUCUGAACUAAAAAAGAUUCGAGCGACUCUUGUUGGAUAGAAACUUUGCUAUUAUUUUGUUAUGGCUUUCACUUCCUAUCAUGCUUUUAUGUGCUGCGUGCUUUAGUUUCACGUUUUGUUGCUGCUAUAUGUGCUAUAAAGUUAUGUUUAGUUCUCUAUUUCUCUAGUUGUAUCUUAAUUCCUAUACCGUUUCAAGUUUGGUUGUUUGCUUUUAUCUUCCUUUAGUUUUAGUUCAAUUUUAAAUUAAUAAUGCAAUAGGAAUAGCUGAUAUGCAGUCGAUCAGUUGAUAUGAGGCACUGAAUAAUGCCUAAAUCUGAAACAGCUAAUGAGCUACAAUAUCAGUGUGUGAGAGAUUUGUAAAGAGAGGAGUAAAAUGAAGUAUGUUUGCUCAAAAUGAUCAAGUUCAAGAAAGUCUGUUUCUUUUUCAUCCUUUCGAUAUACAAAUCUUUCACAAAAAUGAUGACAGAAUGAUACAGCAAUAUACCACAUUUCCAUGAAAAAGAAGAGAAAUUGUAUGUUUAAUUUACCAAGACUGUUUUGGUUCCAGCAGACUUAACUUCUUAGGUAGAUCAGUGCUUACACUCCUUACAGCUUCAGCAAAAUCCUGAUCCUCAAAAUAUCACCUCGGCUCCUCUUAGGCAUAUUGGUCAACGUCAUUGGUUUGUGGCCAUACUAGUUGCUCAUCCCCACACUGCAUGAUACAACAAACAAAUAGUGUGAGCUACAUCUCAAAACACUUCAAAAACAUAUAUUUGGAAAACUAGUAUAUCCAUAAUUCCAUAUGUAUCAAUAAUCAAACGAUUUUCUUAUAUAUAAAAAUAAGAAUAACAAUCAACAACAUAAAAGAUUGCACGUCACACAUCAAUAUUGUGAGUAACACUUAUAUGCUCAAUGAUAUACUUUGAUAUAACUAUCGAAUAUUUGUAAUUUUUUUCGAUGAAUUUGUAAUCCUAUGUCUCAUUAUUAUUCGACACCGACCCGAAAAAUGAUCCAGCAAGAACACGAAACUCGUACUAUUUGGGUUGGGCCUGAAGAAGUUACUGUUCACCGAUAUCUAUAUAAAUACACCAUCGUCCUAUUUUUACCGCACUCUUUUAGUUUUCGUCUUCAACCACAUCUCUCUCUUCUUCUUCGAUUUGAAAAUCCAUGGAGGCCAUCCAACCAAACCCUACCGAAACCCUAGAUCACCAACCCGCCUCCAACAAACCACAACCCCCCGGAUUCUCUAGUCUCCAACUACAAGGACCCGUCCCCGCCGCCAUCGCAAACCCUAGCCUCCCACGCCGCCUCCAAGAACGGCACUCCGGCCGACGCCAGCAAGGCGGUCGCUCUGUUGAUCUCUGUUGAUCUCGGCACACGUAAAGCGGCACGACCAACACGCAAAUUUACCAUCUUCUAUAAGUUAGUUUUGUGAGGCCUCGAAUGAAACUCACAAAUUUUCACAACCUCAUAACCGAUACAAAAUGGUGAAUGUGAAACUGACCCCAACAUACUUGCUCUCCCAUACACCAGCACUACUACUAGUAGUAGCAUUUGCUUUUGUUUGUUGCUGCAGCUCCAUGGCCUCAAGCACGGACAACAAUAAGUUGGAGCUUGGACGAGGAAACUAGACGGAUAGGCUCGCACUGCUCGCCAUUAAAGCUCAAAUACACCAAGAUCCAAACAGGCUGUUUUGGCCAUGAUCCUCAGCAGGGAGCAGAGAAGUAACUAGUGCUACCAAAAGUAAACUAGGGUUUCAGGGCAUGCCACUGCGCGGACGCGGGAUGUGAACUGUGCGCGUUCUUAACUUCUAACCAGGCGAAAGGGAGCUCCGGUGUCACCUUGCGGACGAGGAAUUACGAGCAAAACCUCUUAGUCACCUGUGAAUCGAUACUCACUGUUAGAGCGAGCAGAGCAACAAUUAGGAAAGAAAGGCGAGUCCAGUCGGGCUCUGAGAACUAAGGCGUGGUGCAAUUAGAACUUUAAGGUUUCGAGGAUGCUCGAGAGUUUGUAAGUAGUUUUUGUAUGAUUUGAUUGUAUGUUCUUAGACCAGAUCCUCAAACUCCCUUAUAUAGCGAUCCGCAAAUAGUUGGCAAAGACAUAAUCACAAACCCACUCGGACUUAGCAAUUAGAAUUCCACAAGGAUACAACCAGCUCGCGAACCGCGCUAUCCAUGCGACAUGUGUCCAGAACAGACUUCACUUAGGUCUCACUCACCGCCCCGCAUCAUCUUACUGUAGCGUUGUAUGCGAACUUCGAACACUAAGCGAUCUUAUCCCACGAGGUGCUACAGUCCCUUUCCAACUCUACCUCGCCAUGCACUACGGAAUCCUACGCGAACUGAAACGAGGAUCUCGCGAGGUAUCGAAGUCCUUGACAAAUUCCACCUCGCGCGCUGUCAGAGCGCGCCACCCUACAUGGGCUUCAUAUCUAAAAAAGGGCCACAGGUACUGGCCCAAAUGUUAUCCAAAACUUAUUGCGAGUCUUGGACCAAAAUCCCCGCUGGGCUCAAACACAGGCCUGUGAUGAGUUCGUGGAAUGAGUCCACUCAAUUUUGCAUGUGGUAUCGUGUCACUUGUAGCCGACGACAUCUUUAGAGGGUCACUAGGCUGAACCUAACUUCCCUGAAGUUAUCCGGGUCCAUAUCUCCUCACAUAGGAAGCCUGAGCUUCUUAAGGGAGUUAUGCCUCUAUAAUAAUAGCUUCACCAACAAAAUUCCUGCAGAAAUUGGGCACUUGCGGAGAUUGCAGAAAUUACGUCUAGGAAACAACUCACUAAGUGGUCCUAUUCCUGCCAAUAUCUCCAAUUGCUUCAACCUCAGAAUCUUCGAUGUUCAUAAGAACAUGCUAGUAGGUAACAUUCCUCCAGAACUUGGUUCCUUGUCUAAGCUUGAGUAUCU